rnacentral:rRNA from 1 species
UGACAGUACUCCUACGGGGAGGCAGCAGUGGGGGAAUAUUGCACAAUGGGCGCAAGCCUGAUGCAGCCAUGCCGCGUGUGUGAAGAAGGCCUUCGGGUUGUAAAGCACUUUCAGUCGUGAGGAAGGUAGUGUAGUUAAUAGCUGCAUUAUUUGACGUUAGCGACAGAAGAAGCACCGGCUAACUCCGUGCCAGCAGCCGCGGUAAUACGGAGGGUGCGAGCGUUAAUCGGAAUUACUGGGCGUAAAGCGCAUGCAGGUGGUUUGUUAAGUCAGAUGUGAAAGCCCGGGGCUCAACCUCGGAAUAGCAUUUGAAACUAGGCAGACUAGAGUACUGUAGAGGGGGGUAGGAAUUUCAGGUGUAGCGGUGAAAUAGCGUAGAGAUCUGAAGGAAUACCGGUGGCGAAGGCGGCCCCCUCGGACAGAUACUGACACUCAGAUGCGAAAGCGUGGGGAGCAAACAGGAUUAGAUACCCUGGUAG